rnacentral:rRNA from 1 species
UACGUAGGGUGCAAGCGUUAAUCGGAAUUACUGGGCGUAAAGCGUGCGCAGGCGGUUAUGUAAGACAGGUGUGAAAUCCCCGGGCUUAACCUGGGAACUGCAUUUGUGACUGCAUAGCUAGAGUACGGUAGAGGGGGGAUGGAAUUCCGCGUGUAGCAGUGAAAUGCGUAGAUAUGCGGAGGAACACCGAUGGCGAAGGCAAUCCCUGGACCUGUACUGACGCUCAUGCACGAAAGCGUGGGGAGCAAACGAGG